rnacentral:rRNA from 1 species
CAACAGCUCAAAUUUGAAAUCUGGCCUCUUCGGGGCUCGAGUUGUAAUUUGUAGAGGGUGUUUCGGGCGCGAUGCCGGUCUAAGUUCCUUGGAACAGGACGUCGUAGAGGGUGAGAAUCCCGUAUGCGACCGGCGAUCAAGCCCGUGCGAAGCCCCUUCGACGAGUCGAGUUGUUUGGGAAUGCAGCUCAAAAUGGGUGGUAAAUUUCAUCUAAAGCUAAAUACCGGCCAGAGACCGAUAGCGGACAAGUAGAGUGAUCGAAAGAUGAAAAGCACUUUGGAAAGAGAGUCAAACAGUACGUGAAAUUGUUGAAAGGGAAGCGCUUGCAAUCAGACCGGUCCGGAGGCGAUCAGCCGCUGCUCGUCAGCGGUGCACUCGCCUGCGAUCCGGCCAGCAUCGGUUUGGGCGGCGGGACAAAAGUCCCGGGAAUGUAGCUUCUCUCGGGGAGUCUUAUAGCCUGGGUCGCAAUGCCGCCCGCCUGGACCGAGGACCGCGCUUCGGCUAGGAUGCUGGCGUAAUGGUUGCAAGCG